rnacentral:misc_RNA from 1 species
GAUGAAGAACGUUAGCGAAAUGCGAUAAGUAGUGUGAAUUGCAGAAUUCAGUGAAUCAUCGAAUCUUUGAACGCACAUUGCGCCCCUUGGUAUCCCGAGGGGCAUGCCUGUUCGAGCGUCAUUUCACCACUCAAGCCUGGCUUGGUGUUGGGCGACGUCCUCUUUGGGGACGCGCCUCGAAACGCUCGGCGGCGUGGCACCGGCUUUAAGCGUAGCAGAAUCUUUCGCUUUGGAAGUCGGGGCCCCGUCUGCCGGAAGACCUGCUCGCAAGGUUGACCUCGGAUCAGGCAGGGAUACCCGCUGAACCUAAGCAUAUCAAUAGCGGAGGA